AGUGAACGCUGGCGGUAGGCCUAACACAUGCAAGUCGAACGGCAGCACAGUAAGAGCUUGCUCUUACGGGUGGCGAGUGGCGGACGGGUGAGGAAUACAUCGGAAUCUACUUUUUCGUGGGGGAUAACGUAGGGAAACUUACGCUAAUACCGCAUACGACCUACGGGUGAAAGCAGGGGAUCUUCGGACCUUGCGCGAUUGAAUGAGCCGAUGUCGGAUUAGCUAGUUGGCGGGGUAAAGGCCCACCAAGGCGACGAUCCGUAGCUGGUCUGAGAGGAUGAUCAGCCACACUGGAACUGAGACAAGGUCCAGACUCCUACGGGAGGCAGCAGUGGGGAAUAUUGGACAAUGGGCGCAAGCCUGAUCCAGCCAUACCGCGUGGGUGAAGAAGGCCUUCGGGUUGUAAAGCCCUUUUGUUGGGAAAGAAAAGCAGCAGGUGAAUACCCCGCUGUUCUGACGGUACCCAAAGAAUAAGCACCGGCUAACUUCGUG
rnacentral:rRNA from 1 species